rnacentral:rRNA from 1 species
CCGGCGGCUUGGAACACCUCCUUAUAAUACCGCAUACGCCCUACGGGGGAAAGCAGGGGAUCUUCGGACCUUGCGCUAAUAGAUGAGCCUAAGUCGGAUUAGCUAGUUGGUGGGGUAAAGGCCUACCAAGGCGACGAUCUGUAGCGGGUCUGAGAGGAUGAUCCGCCACACUGGGACUGAGACACGGCCCAGACUCCUACGGGAGGCAGCAGUGGGGAAUAUUGGACAAUGGGCGGAAGCCUGAUCCAGCCAUGCCGCGUGUGUGAAGAAGGCCUUUUGGUUGUAAAGCACUUUAAGCGAGGAGGAGGCUACUAGUAUUAAUACUACUGGAUAGUGGACGUUACUCGCAGAAUAAGCACCGGCUAACUCUGUGCCAGCAGCCGCGGUAAUACAGAGGGUGCGAGCGUUAAUCGGAUUUACUGGGCGUAAAGCGUGCGUAGGCGGCUUUUUAAGUCGGAUGUGAAAUCCCCGAGCUUAACUUGGGAAUUGCAUUCGAUACUGGGAAGCUAGAGUAUGGGAGAGGAUGGUAGAAUUCCAGGUGUAGCGGUGAAAUGCGUAGAGAUCUGGAGGAAUACCGAUGGCGAAGGCAGCCAUCUGGCCUAAUACUGACGCUGAGGUACGAAAGCAUGGGGAGCAAACAGGAUUAGAUACCCUGGUAGUCCAUGCCGUAAACGAUGUCUACUAGCCGUUGGGGCCUUUG